rnacentral:rRNA from 1 species
CCUACGGGUGGCAGCAGUGAGGAAUAUUGGUCAAUGGCCGGAAGGCUGAACCAGCCAUGCCGCGUGAAGGGCAGGGCCCUAGGGGCGGUAAACUUCUUUUGUGCGGGAGCAAGAAUGGUCACGUGUGGCCAGACGAGAGUACCGUACGAAUAAGCAGCGGCUAACUCCGUGCCAGCAGCCGCGGUAAUACGGGGGAUGCAAGCGUUAUCCUGAUUUAUUGGGGUUAAAGGGUGCGUAGGCUGUGAGGUAAGUCAGCGGUGAAAUGCCCCCGCUCAACGGGGUGAAGUGCCAUUGAUACUGCCUUGCUGGACUGCGGCUGCCGUGGGAGGAAUGUGUGGUGUAGCGGU